UACGGAGGGUGCGAGCGUUGUCCGGAAUCAUUGGGCGUAAAGGGUGCGUAGGUGGCAUGGUAAGUCGGAUGUGAAAUCCCGGGGCUCAACCCCGGAACUGCAUUCGAUACUGCCAGGCUAGAGUACUGGAGAGGAGAUUGGAAUUUACGGUGUAGCAGUGAAAUGCGUAGAUAUCGUAAGGAAGACCGGUGGCGAAGGCGGAUCUCUGGACCGGUUCUGACGCUCAGGCGCGAAAGCGUGGGGAGCGAACAGG
rnacentral:rRNA from 1 species